CCAAUAGCGUAUAUUAAAGUUGUUGCAGUUAAAAAGCUCGUAGUUGGAUUUGUGGUGUACUUCGGCGGCCCGUCACUAUGUGAUGGAGCUUGCUGAAGUCGCCAUCCUUGGGUGGAUCCUGUGUGGCAUUAAGUUGUCGUGCAGGGGAUGCCCAUCGUUUACUGUGAAAAAAUUAGAGUGUUCAAAGCAGGCUUAUGCCGUUGAAUAUAUUAGCAUGGAAUAAUAAGGUAGGACCUUGGUACUAUUUUGUUGGUUUGCGCACCAAGGUAAUGAUUAAUAGGGACAGUUGGGGGUAUUCGUAUUUCAUUGUCAGAGGUGAAAUUCUUGGAUUUUUGAAAGACGAACUACUGCGAAAGCAUUUACCAAGGAUGUUUNCAUUAA
rnacentral:rRNA from 1 species